rnacentral:lncRNA from 1 species
GUAUAGAUAUAUAAUACAAAUAAAAAGGUUCUUGGAGAGGGUACCUAUAGCCCAGCCUAGGGGUAGGGGGAAAGGUUGGCUGGCUGCAAUUCUGUUGAUGGUUAGACUCGGACCAUAUUUAAGAGCAUGAUCGCGGGUUUCGCCAUUAAUCAUCUCGAGCCUAGCACAUUCAAAGCCUUUUAACAUAUAGUGAAUAUGCAGAACUUGUAAAUGUGCAAAAAAUAUCAACAAAGUAGACGAUCGCCGCGAAAAGAAUGUGAAUUAAGCUCAGAAUCCUUGUG